AUCCAGCUGACAAGUUACAAACAAGACAAAACGCGCGUCUUGGAU
rnacentral:hammerhead_ribozyme from 1 species